rnacentral:rRNA from 1 species
UAAAAAAGCUAUAGGUUUAUUUGUAGUAAUAUUUAUAAAGGUUUACAGAUAUGGAAUGAGUUAAAUUUUUUUGGUUUUGUUGUUCUUACCUCUUGUAGAAUGGUUGAACAAGAAUGAAGUUUUAUUAACUGUUCCCGAAACGAGAAGAGCUAGCUAUUAGCUAUAUUUUAGUAUAUAUCCGAUUAUGUGGAAGUAUGGUCUUAAGACUUUUAGCUAGGGGUGAAAGAUCUUCAAUUCUCGAGAUAUCUGGAAACCCUCAAAAAGCAUUUAGUGCUGCUGAGAUGUUAGGUGCAAAGUUUUUAGAUUUUGCGCUAGUUAGAACUAAUAAUUAAAUAAAAAGUAGAAGGUUUUAGGGUUAAACUUCCUGAGCAUUUCUUAAAAAUAAAUUUAUUUUAGGAAAAGUCUAAUUUGUAGAGGGUUUGUUUUUAAAAUUAUUUAAUAACUUGAAAAUGUUUAAAUUAGUAAUAAUACACUUUUCCCAGCAAUUAAUUUGGUUAGUGAGAAAGGUUUAAUAAUUAAAUAAGUAGAAGGAACUCGGCAAACUUAAGCUUGGACUGUUUACCAAAAACAUAGCCACAGGAAGUCAUCUGUGGUUCAACCUGCCCAAUGUAUAUAAUGAAUGGCCGCGGUACCCUGACCGUGCUAAGGUAGCGUAAUUAUUUGGCUUUUAAAUGGAGUCAGGAAUGAAUGGGAUAACCGGGCUUAGCUGUCUCCUGCUUAUUUUUUUGAAUUUACUGUUCAAGUGAAAAAGCUUGAUAUACCAAAAGGGACGAGAAGACCCUUAGAAUUUGUCUUAGAAGGGGUUAGUAUUCCUAAUGGUUUUGUUGGGGCGACAAAGGAGUAUACUAGAACCUCCUGUUAUUUACAAGCCGAUUGUAUCAAGAAAGAAUAAAUUACCUGAGGGAUAACAGCAUAAUUCUAAAAUUGAGUUUGUGACCUCGAUGUUGGACUAGGAAACCAACAAGCUAGCCGUUUGUUGUGUUGGUUCUGUUCGAACUAUUAUUCCU